rnacentral:rRNA from 1 species
CCUACGGGUGACAGCAGUGAGGAAUAUUGGUCAAUGGCCGAGAGGCUGAACCAGCCAAGUCGCGUGAGGGAAGACGGCCCUACGGGUUGUAAACCUCUUUUGUCGGGGAGCAAAGCGAGUCACGUGUGACUCAUUGAGAGUACCCGAAGAAAAAGCAUCGGCAAACUCCGUGCCAGCAGCCGCGGUAAUACGGAGGAUGCGAGCGUUAUCCGGAUUUAUUGGGUUUAAAGGGUGCGCAGGCGGAGUUUCAAGUCAGCGGUAAAAUUGCGGGGCUCAACCCCGUACUGCCGUUGAAACUGCAUCCCUUGAGUGCGCGAGAGGUAUGCGGAAUGCGUGGUGUAGCGGUGAAAUGCAUAGAUAUCACGCAGAACUCCGAUUGCGAAGGCAGCAUACCGGCGCGCAACUGACGCUCAUGCACGAAAGCGUGGGUAUCGAACAGGAUUAGAUACCCCUGUAGUC